rnacentral:rRNA from 1 species
GACUCUUAUGGUGGAUCACUCUGCUCCUGUGUCAAUGAAAAAUGCAGCUAGCUGUGAGAAUUAAUGUGAACUGAAGGACACAUUGAUCAUUGACACUUUGAACUCAGGUUCAAAGUGGCCCAGGUUCUUUUCAGGGCUACACCUGUCUGAGCAUCA